GAUGAACGCUGGCGGCGUGCCUAAUACAUGCAAGUCGAGCGAACAGACGAGGAGCUUGCUCCUCUGACGUUAGCGGCGGACGGGAGAGUAACACGUGGAUAACCUACCUAUAAGACUGGGAUAACUUCGGGAAACCGGAGCUAAUACCGGAUAAUAUAUUGAACCGCAUGGUUCAAUAGUGAAAGACGGUUUUGCUGUCACUUCUAGAUGGUUCCGCGCCGCAUUAGCUAGUUGGUAAGGUAACGGCUUACCAAGGCAACGAUGCGUAGCCGACCUGAGAGGGUGAUCGGCCACACUGGAACGGGGACACGGUCCAGACUCCUACGGGAGGCAGCAGUAGGGAAUCUUCCGCAAUGGGCGAGAGCUUGACGGAGCAACGCCGCGUGAGUGAUGAAGGUCUUCGGAUCGUAAAACUCUGUUAUUAGGGAAGAACAAAUGUGUAAGUAACUAUGCACGUCUUGACGGUACCUAAUCAGAAAGCCACGGCUAACUACGUG
rnacentral:rRNA from 1 species